rnacentral:rRNA from 1 species
AGUGAACGCUGGCGGCAGGCCUAACACAUGCAAGUCGAGCGGCAGCGCGGGGGCAACCCUGGCGGCGAGCGGCGGACGGGUGAGGAAUUCGUCGGAAUCUGCCUUUUUGUGGGGGAUAACGUAGGGAAACUUACGCUAAUACCGCAUACGUCCUACGGGAGAAAGUGGGGGACCGCAAGGCCUCACGCAGAAAGAUGAGCCGACGACCGAUUAGCUAGUUGGUGGGGUAAAGGCCCACCAAGGCGACGAUCGGUAGCUGGUCUGAGAGGAUGAUCAGCCACACUGGGACUGAGACACGGCCCAGACUCCUACGGGAGGCAGCAGUGGGGAAUAUUGGACAAUGGGCGCAAGCCUGAUCCAGCCAUGCCGCGUGUGUGAAGAAGGCCUUCGGGUUGUAAAGCACUUUUGUCCGGAAAGAAAUCCCUGGAGCCAAUACCUUCGGGGGAUGACGGUACCGGAAGAAUAAGCACCGGCUAACUUCGUG